CUGGUUAGCUGAGUUGGUGGAGCGCUCCACCUGUAAUGGAGAGGUCCCGGGUUCGAUCCCCGGACCAG
rnacentral:tRNA from 1 species